AGAUUGAACUGAAGAGUUUGAUCCUGGCUCAGAUUGAACGCUGGCGGGAUGCUUUACACAUGCAAGUCGGACGGCAGCACGGGCUUCGGCCUGGUGGCGAGUGGCGAACGGGUGAGUAAUGUAUCGGAACGUGCCCAGUAGCGGGGGAUAACUACGCGAAAGCGUGGCUAAUACCGCAUACGCCCUACGGGGGAAAGCGGGGACCUUCGGGCCUCGCACUAUUGGAGCGGCCGAUAUCGGAUUAGCUAGUUGGUGGGGUAACGGCCUACCAAGGCGACGAUCCGUAGCUGGUUUGAGAGGACGACCAGCCACACUGGGACUGAGACACGGCCCAGACUCCUACGGGAGGCAGCAGUGGGGAAUUUUGGACAAUGGGGGCAACCCUGAUCCAGCCAUCCCGCGUGUGCGAUGAAGGCCUUCGGGUUGUAAAGCACUUUUGGCAGGAAAGAAACGGCACGGGCUAAUAUCCUGUGCAACUGACGGUACCUGCAGAAUAAGCACCGGCUAACUACGUGCCAGCAGCCGCGGUAAUACGUAGGGUGCAAGCGUUAAUCGGAAUUACUGGGCGUAAAGCGUGCGCAGGCGGUUCGGAAAGAAAGAUGUGAAAUCCCAGGGCUUAACCUUGGAACUGCAUUUUUAACUACCGGGCUAGAGUGUGUCAGAGGGAGGUGGAAUUCCGCGUGUAGCAGUGAAAUGCGUAGAUAUGCGGAGGAACACCGAUGGCGAAGGCAGCCUCCUGGGAUAACACUGACGCUCAUGCACGAAAGCGUGGGAGCAAACAGGAUUAGAUACCCUGGUAGUCCACGCCCUAAACGAUGUCAACUAGCUGUUGGGGCCUUCGGGCCUUGGUAGCGCAGCUAACGCGUGAAGUUGACCGCCUGGGGAGUACGGUCGCAAGAUUAAAACUCAAAGGAAUUGACGGGGACCCGCACAAGCGGUGGAUGAUGUGGAUUAAUUCGAUGCAACGCGAAAAACCUUACCUACCCUUGACAUGUCUGGAAUCCCGAAGAGAUUUGGGAGUGCUCGCAAGAGAACCGGAACACAGGUGCUGCAUGGCUGUCGUCAGCUCGUGUCGUGAGAUGUUGGGUUAAGUCCCGCAACGAGCGCAACCCUUGUCAUUAGUUGCUACGAAAGGGCACUCUAAUGAGACUGCCGGUGACAAACCGGAGGAAGGUGGGGAUGACGUCAAGUCCUCAUGGCCCUUAUGGGUAGGGCUUCACACGUCAUACAAUGGUCGGGACAGAGGGUCGCCAACCCGCGAGGGGGAGCCAAUCCCAGAAACCCGAUCGUAGUCCGGAUCGCAGUCUGCAACUCGACUGCGUGAAGUCGGAAUCGCUAGUAAUCGCGGAUCAGCAUGUCGCGGUGAAUACGUUCCCGGGUCUUGUACACACCGCCCGUCACACCAUGGAGUGGGUUUUACCAGAAGUAGUUAGCCUAACCGCAAGGGGGGCGAUUACCACGGUAGGAUUCAUGACUGGGGUGAAGUCGUAACAAGGUAGCCGUAUCGGAAGGUGCGGCUGGAUCACCUCCUUU
rnacentral:rRNA from 1 species